rnacentral:rRNA from 1 species
AGUGAACGCUGGCGGUAGGCCUAACACAUGCAAGUCGAACGGCAGCACAGUAAGAGCUUGCUCUUACGGGUGGCGAGUGGCGGACGGGUGAGGAAUACAUCGGAAUCUACUUUUUCGUGGGGGAUAACGUAGGGAAACUUACGCUAAUACCGCAUACGACCUACGGGUGAAAGCAGGGGAUCUUCGGACCUUGCGCGAUUGAAUGAGCCGAUGUCGGAUUAGCUAGUUGGCGGGGUAAAGGCCCACCAAGGCGACGAUCCGUAGCUGGUCUGAGAGGAUGAUCAGCCACACUGGAACUGAGACACGGUCCAGACUCCUACGGGAGGCAGCAGUGGGGAAUAUUGGACAAUGGGCGCAAGCCUGAUCCAGCCAUACCGCGUGGGUGAAGAAGGCCUUCGGGUUGUAAAGCCCUUUUGUUGGGAAGGAAAAGCAGCAGGUUAAUACCCCGCUGUUCUGACGGUACCAAAAGAAUAAGCACCGGCUAACUUCGUG